GUAACAAAAAUACAAAGAUUGAUUAAAAAAUCCUAUACUUGACGCUGGCUAAUGCACAGAUCGUGCCAGAGCCAUAAAAAAAAAUUUGUUGUGGUGAAAAGUUUGUUACAAUACAAGUUUGUUGUGGCGAUUUUGUAUUUCAGAGAGAGCGUUGAGUUGAGCUGUAACACUCCUCAGUUUUUACUGUUGACACUGUUGACUCCGUUUGUCUGUAUACCCAAUAUCCACUUACUCCUAAACUCUGCAACAAAUUGGCGGAUUGACCUUUCAAUGCAUUCUUUACCGAAACCAGACAAUUUUCCGGAGCGUUUCAAAACAUGGAAUACCUUGGUCGGUGGCAAAUUGGAAACUGAGUGGCUAUACCUACUACAGCAAAAGAAAAGUUUGUGACAAACAUUUCACAGACAGGGAUCGAAACCGUUACAAGAGACUUAAUGCACUUGCCGUCCCAUCACUUCAUUUGUUGGACAACUUUGCUGUGCUUGGAGAUAGCAACAGGGUCUCAAGCAAGAAUCAAGCUCUUCUAAAACAAAAAAAAUUAUAGUGGAAUAUGUACACAGCAUGAUGCAGCUUUACUGUCCAUCUUAACGGACCACAAUUACUGUACGGUCAGCCGGUAUACAAGGAUGGCUUCCAAGAAAGGAGGAACCAAAUAUACCGUACUUCGAUACCUGCGCAGCGAGAUUUGUGUAAGAGAGCGAAAUCUUUCAAAGACAGACUAUCCCAGGCUGCUAAAUUAUGCAAAGUCAAUGCCUUUAGAGGUGAAAAAUAUGAGCAAACGAGCUCAGCUCCGAAAGGUCGACGUUUUACCGUUGAUGAAAAAGUGCCCUUUCACUUUAUAAAAAAAGUCCCAAAGG